AGUGUAUUCAUUAAACCAAAAGUUUUACAAUUACAAUUGCAGAGCUAUGGUCAGCCUUAGACUAUGACAUCCACUACCAAAACAAUUUAGCUAGCAGUGGUACUUACAGGAACAUGAAAUAACUACUAGUGAAGGGAACAGAACUGAAGCUACAACAAUAACUAGAAGAGGCCAAUGACAUGAGGUUCAACUACGUGUGUGUCCAGAGAAAAGCAACAGAACUGAGGUAGGGUCUGGAGCAGCUGAGGGAGCUGGGGCUGUUCAGGCCGGAGAAAAGCAGACUCAGGAUAGACCAUAUUGUUCUCUACUACCAUCUGACAGGUAUAACCUGAAGGUGUAACCAGGGGGUGUCAGUCUCCCAGGUAAAAAGUGACAGGACAAGAAGAAAUUACUUCAGGUUGCACCUGGGGAGGUAUAGAUUGGAUAUUAGUAGUCUUUCCACUGGUGGUCAACCAAUGGAACUGGCUUAGUUGUGGAAAUGCAGUGGUUAAUGGUUGGACUUUAUGAUCUUACGGAUCUUUUCCAACCUAAACGAUUCUGUGAUCCUAUGAUUCUAAAUAAAAGGAAGAUUCUACCGAGAUAUUUAUAAUACUCUAUUUGUAUCCAUUUGGAAGGAUUAAAUCAUAAAUUUCUUUGAUGCCAAGGAAACUUCUCUCAAAAGCCCCAAAAAAGCAAACAAAUCCAACACAGAAUGAGCAACCAAACAAUUAAAUGCCUAACGAAGACAUUUUCAAGAGGUCUGACUCGGACUGCAACUUUAACUGGGAUCUCCUCCAUGCCAGACUCCAUCCUUGUGCUUCCUGUUCAGCAUUUACACAGUCAAGAAGAAAUCUGUUACCACUGCUCUGUUCACCUCAUUCACAUCUGUCUGCAACUAAGAAAAAAGGUUUUCCAUGUUAUAUGAAUGAAUGAAUCUCCUGAAGUGGAAAGUUGAGAUUUUGUAAGGAACAGCUUGAGGACUUGGCUAUCCACAGCCGAAGUUUGAAAAAAGAAAAGCCCCAAUUUAUUGACUGAGCAUAAGAAGAAGUAAGCUAAGCACGAGAAUAAGCCAAGACUGGUAUCAUAAGGGACACGGCAAUCAGCAACAGAUGCAUAAACAUACUGUUAAAAACACAUUGUGAUUAAAAGCACAUUUUGAUUGAUAA